AUUUAUAAAGCAUUUACAAUUUUCACUUUUUAAUGUUAUAUAAGUUAUAUGUGAAUGCUCUCUGUAAAAAAUAAAAAGAAAAAUCAGUAGAGAACACAGAAAAGGUUGUGUAAGAAAAUAAAAACUAUCCACAUCCCCACAUUUAGAGAUGAUUAUUAUUAACAUUUGGGGGCAUAUCUGGGGAUGCUCGCUUAAGUAGGGAAGUCUCAAAGCGGAGAACUGUGCCUAUUUUCCAGGGUGAGGCCGGGAAGAAGACGUCAAGUCUGGGAUGGCAGCUCCUGGAUCCCAAAACUGUAGAGUCACGAUGACUGCAGGUGGUGUCCAGGUUGCCCUCCCCAACGUGGCUGGACCGCAUCCAAUCAACUGCAGACAUGAAUGGAACAAAAGGGCUGAAAAAGAAGGAAUUUUGCCUCCUGACUGCUGGAGCUGAGACAUCAGUCUUCUUCUGCCCUCUAACCGGGA
rnacentral:lncRNA from 1 species